UACGUAGGGUGCAAGCGUUGUCCGGAAUUAUUGGGCGUAAAGAGCUCGUAGGCGGUUUGUCGCGUCUGCUGUGAAAACUCAGGGCUUAACCCUGAGCCUGCAGUGGGUACGGGCAGACUAGAGUGUGGUAGGGGGAGAUCGGAAUUCCUGGUGUAGCGGUGGAAUGCGCAGAUAUCAGGAGGAACACCGGUGGCAAAGGCGGGUCUCUGGGCCGAAUGACUG
rnacentral:rRNA from 1 species